rnacentral:rRNA from 1 species
UAGGGNNUNUNCGGCAAUGGGGGCAACCCUGACCGAGCAACGCCGCGUGAGUGAAGAAGGUUUUCGGAUCGUAAAGCUCUGUUGUAAGAGAAGAACGAGUGUGAGAGUGGAAAGUUCACACUGUGACGGUAACUUACCAGAAAGGGACGGCUAACUACGUGCCAGCAGCCGCGGUAAUACGUAGGUCCCGAGCGUUAUCCGGAUUUAUUGGGCGUAAAGCGAGCGCAGGCGGUUAGAUAAGUCUGAAGUUAAAGGCCGUGGCUUAACCAUAGUACGCUUUGGAAACUGUUUAACUUGAGUGCAGAAGGGGAGAGUGGAAUUCCAUGUGUAGCGGUGAAAUGCGUAGAUAUAUGGAGGAACACCGGUGGCGAAAGCGGCUCUCUGGUCUGUAACUGACGCUGAGGCUCGAAAGCGUGGGGAGCAAACAGGAUUAGAUACCCUGGUAGUCCACGCCGUAAACGAUGAGUGCUAGGUGUUGGGUCCUUUCCGGGACUCAGUGCCGCAGCUAACGCAUUAAGCACUCCGCCUGGGGAGUACGACCGCAAGGUUG